rnacentral:rRNA from 1 species
GUGACCUCAAAUCAGGUAGGACUACCCGCUGAACUUAAGCAUAUCAAUAAGCGGAGGAAAAGAAACUAACAAGGAUUCCCCUAGUAACUGCGAGUGAAGCGGGAAAAGCUCAAAUUUAAAAUCUGGCAGUCUUUGGCUGUCCGAGUUGUAAUCUAGAGAAGUGUUAUCCGCGCUGGACCGUGUACAAGUCUCCUGGAAUGGAGCGUCAUAGAGGGUGAGAAUCCCGUCUUUGACACGGACUACCAGGGCUUUGUGAUGCGCUCUCAAAGAGUCGAGUUGUUUGGGAAUGCAGCUCAAAAUGGGUGGUAAAUUCCAUCUAAAGCUAAAUAUUGGCGAGAGACCGAUAGCGAACAAGUACCGUGAGGGAAAGAUGAAAAGAACUUUGGAAAGAGAGUUAAACAGUACGUGAAAUUGCUGAAAGGGAAACGCUUGAAGUCAGUCGCGUUGUCCAGGGAUCAACCUUGCUUUUGCUUGGUGCACUUUCUGGUUGACGGGUCAGCAUCAAUUUUGACCAUUGGAAAAAGAUUAAGGGAAUGUGACAUCUUUGGAUGUGUUAUAGCCCUUGGUUGCAUACGAUGGUUGGGAUUGAGGAACUCAGCACGCCGCAAGGCCGGGUUUUUAACCACGUACGUGCUUAGGAUGCUGGCAUAAUGGCUUUAAUCGACCC